UUGCUUUGGCAGCACAUAUACUAAAAUUGGAAUGCUACAGAGGCAUGACCCCUGCGCAAGGAUGACAUGCAAAUUCAUAAAGCAUUACACAUUUUU
rnacentral:snRNA from 1 species